AAACUAUCCUUGAGCUUGAGCUAAUGCUGGUGAGAUUGAGCUUUGGUAUGAUAGCACAAAUAUACAUUAUUCUAGUUCAAUGAUAGUGUCAAUCUUUCAGAUGUAAAUAGUUUAGUCUUGGUUCAUGUGAUCAUUACAGACUAAAAUUUAACUAGAAAUCAUAGAGGCUCUUUAAUGCUGGAGGAAUUCACUCAUCAAAUCUUCAUCAACUCUGAUAUAUAAACACAAAUAAUCUGGAAAGCAAUAAAUUACCAAAUAAGAAGAGAAAAACACAGAUCAUAUGGGAUUAUUUCACACUGGAAAAUUGGUAAUUUAUGCUAUAGCAUUAUAACUAAUAUAAGUAGCAACAACCUGCAUUAACAUUUUAAAGAAAAACGAGGUCUUAGAAAAUAAACUUGAUCAUUACUAUAGCCAUAAACUGAUAUGGUGGUCUUUCUCCUUUGAAAACUAUUUAAAAAAAAGAAAAAGAAAAACAAA
rnacentral:misc_RNA from 1 species